AUCAGCAUUUUGGGCCAAACGAAACGCAUCAGCGAGACGACUCCGCCCCUCCGCCGCCGCUCUCCUUCGUCUCUGGCCACCCAGACCAGUCCGCCGCCGCCAAGGACGAAGCCCCUCCUCCCGUUGACGGGAGCACCUCACAGACCAGGGAGGCCGCGCAAGACGAUCCGCGCGCGCGUCCGCUCCCUCCUUAUCUGAGGCCGGCGGCGGAGGGGAGGGGCGCGGAGGACGUGCUCGUGGUGACUCGCCCGGGCUUCUGCUGCCACCGUCGUCUCCACCGACCACGUCUGCGAGCUGCUGCCGGAGAAGGCCGUUGAGGUCAUCUUCCUCAACCUGGCGCCGCUGCACCCGCAGAUCUGCUUAGCUAAAGCUGUUGCCGGCGCAGCGAGAUGAUUUAGUUACGCCUCCCUCCACGUUGGUACAUGAUACAUGGGGAUGUUUCUUUGCCUAGCCUAAUGAAAUGUAUGGCUGCCUCCUUCGACUCCUACAUCACUGCAUCCCCCAUCAGCGAGACACACAAGGACAACGAUGUUGUUUGUCUUAUGAUCCAGGCCAUCUUCCUCAACCUGGCGGCGGUGCACCUGCACGUCUACAACACCCGCAGAUCUGCUUAGGUAAAGAUGUUGCCGGUGCCCCUCCUUUCGCAGCGAGAUGAUUUAUUUUCGCCUCCCUCCACGUUGGUGCAUUUGACGAUUCACUCCCUGAUACAUGCAAAUGUACAGCUGCCUCCUUCAACUGGUAUGACUCCUACAUCACCGUGUCCCCCAUCUGUGAGCCACAGAAGGUCAACUUUAUGCCUUUUUCGGUUUCCAGGUUUAAAUAAGUACGAUGCAGCAGCGAUUGAAACAUGUGCAGCGGUAACACUUUUUGGUUGCUCUAAGAAAAUGUAACAUGUUACAGAUCUUCCAUAAAUUCAAUGCGAGCUUUGUAUAUCUAGUUUGCAUGGUGUUAGCAUUCCCAUCUUGGCUAAUGGUGUUAUGGCAGUAGCUUCCAAAGGCGGUAGCCUGUAACUUGCAAGGCUGGUUGUGUCUUCAUGCUGAUUGCUAUUUGAGUUGAUCUUGAUCUAGUAAUGAAGUUGCUAUGUGUCUAUGUUCCACUUCUGAAAAUGUAGGCUUAACCUGGUGGUUGGGUUCUUACUGAAGAGGGUUGUACUAUUGCAAUAUUCUGGCUGAUUGCAUUUCUUGAACCUUUCUAUAUUUAAGUGCUUAUGUCUAGCUCAAAAGUCAAAUAUCCCUGUUUCAGCAGAUGAAUGUUGUUUGCUGGAAUUGUAGGCUCGAUGUGUUAAUUCUGUCGCUAUUUGAUUCAAUAGUAUGCCAUUUUGAUCUGCUGAAAUUUAUUUCUUCUCUUUGAUAUAUGCAUAGUUGAUGUUGCAAACUUGUAACUAGUGCUGUUCUGGGAUGAAAAUCUACAGUUGAGUGCUAUUUUAGCUAGUAAGUAUUUACUAGUGGUAAUCUGGAACACUACGGUCUGUUUUUGUCCAGCUGUAAUUGUUCUUGUACCUGCUAUCAUCUCACUCAUAUUUUCAGUUCAGUGAGGAUUCUUUCCUGUCAUCUCACUCAUAUAAAAUAUGCAGAUUCUUGUGGUGGUAGUGGGGUGAGCAGGCGCCUCCUUUCGGAGGUGUGCAACAUCAAAUUUUGAUUCCUCCAUCUGUUAAUCUUGUUUGUUUGGUGGCUGUAAUGGAAGAUUUUUUUCGAUAAAGGCUGUAUGUAAUGGAAGAUAAAUUGCAUGGUUAUGUUGCUGCCUAGGAUGGAUGAAUCCUCCUUGACGUGCUUUGACUUGUAGCCCUGGCUGUAUCUCCUCCAUUAAAUGAUGUAAGAGUUUGCACACUCACAUAUGUGUUCGUUUUGCUUUUUGUAAUGGGUCCUCCAGAUUGGAGCUUGUAAGAGAUGGUGUGUUAAGCAAUUGGCUCGUUUUGUGUGUUUGUA